rnacentral:lncRNA from 1 species
GCACUCUUCCAUGGCUUCCCACACACCCUUGUAGUCCAAUGGUACAAGAUCUUCUUUGGGUAUAAGGCUUUGUAAUUUCUCACUUGGCUUUGCACUGAUGGGCCAGUGAAUGAGAUAGAGGUCAACAUAGUCCAUCUGAAGGGUCCUGCAUGCGUGUGGGUAUAAUAUAAAUAUAUACACAUCAAUAAGCUACACUUAAUUAAUUAGAACUCAUGUAUAGUAUUCAAAACGGAAAAAAUAUAUAUAUAUAUAUAUUAUUGGUGUUCUGUUCAUCUCUUUUAAUCCAUCUUGAACGUUAAUAUGUUCCAAUGAAAAAAAAGAAAACAAGAUAAGCAUUUUGAGACCUACAUAUCGGGAGGAAAAAAAAUCAAUUUUCUUUCCCAAUCUUCAUAAUUGAACCAAGAAGGACAAAACCAUAAAUCUAGUUUGCUUGAGUAAUUAUUAAGAAUGAAUUCAUUAUAAAGAAGAAAAAUGCCCUCUCCAUCCUUAAGAUUUGAUGUAAUAGGUCAUUUCAUCAUUUUUAUUUAAAUAAUAACUCAUUUCAUCUCUAUUUUUUAAAUAAUAGCCUAAAACGUUCUUCCCUUAAUUUACUGCCAGUAACUAUAUAAUUCAUUAAAGACAAAACAGAAUUUCCAAAUAAUGAUAAAUUAUUUUAAAAUAAACUCUCAAACACAAUUUUAAAAAAAAAAAAUUCUACUUUUCUGCAUAAAUUUAAAAUUUAAGGAUAACUUAAUAAAUAAACAAUAAUAACACUAAGCAAUAUGUAAAAUAUAUAUUUAGGACCAAAAAAAAAAAGAUUUCACAAGCAUUAGAGUAUUUUUUUUUUAAUCCUUUAGCUUAUCCUUGAUUUUAAUAUGAAAAAAAUAAACAAAUAAAUAAAUAAUCAAUAAGUAUUGUUAUUCUACCAAAAGUAAGCACAAACUUCUUUAUUUAUUUAAAAAAAUACACACUAAAGACAUGAAAACACAUAUUUAAAAAUACUACAAAAUAAGAUACAUUGCAUUAGAGUAUUUUUUUUAAUCUUUUAGCUUAUAUUUGACCUCAAUAUGAAUAGUGAUUCUUGGAAAAUUAUUGUCAUUAUUUUUGUUUGUUGUUGUUGUUAUAUUAAAAAAUUUAGUUGACUUCAUUAAAAAAAAAAAAUUAAUGAGCACACACAUAUGCGUAUAUACACAUACGCGCGCGCACACAUAUGCGUAUAUACACAUACGCGCGCGCACACAUACACACACAUAUAUAUUCCUUCUUUAAUACGAACACCUUCAUUUUUUUUUUUAUGCAGACACAUUUUUAAGCAACGAGAUUUAAUACGUUAGUUUUCAAGCCUGUUACCCCACGACUUUAUAGGGUAUUUAAAAUCCAUAUGGUUUAACGUCAUGUCCGCACUAAAAAAAAAAGAGGGCACUCGCACUUGAAAAUGAUUAUAUGUGUUUGUGUGUGUGUGUGUGUGUGUAUGUAUUUUUUAUUUUAUUAAGUUAUCCUUAAAUUUUAAAUUUAUACAAAAAAGUUAGAUGUUAUUUAAUUAUUCUUGAGAUUUUUAUUUUAAAAUAGUUUGCAUUUAUUUAACUAAAAAUUCUAUUUUGCUCGCAAUAGAUUAUAGAGUAAACUAAUUGUAAAUACAUAAAAGGAUAUUUUGGGCUAUUGUUUGAAAAAUAAAGAUGAAACGGGCUAUUGUUUAAAAAAUAAGUAUGAAAUGAGAUAUUGUACCAAACCCUAAGGAUGAAAAGGAUUUUUUUUUUUUUUUAAAGAGUCGCAACUUCAACAUAUAAGACAUUUUCAAUUAUGUUCAUGAGAGAAAGCAAGUUAAAUUCUUCAACUCAUUGGAGCACUGAUUUCAAUUAAAUUUACAAAGCCAAAGACUUAAAUAACGAAUGAAAUUAAAAGUUAAUAAAAAUAAAAAUAAUUAAUAAUAACUAAAAUAAUAAAGUUAAUAAAAUUUAAUAAUAAUCAUUAUUAUUAUUAUUAUUAAUGACAUUUAAAAUAAUAAAAUUAUUUGUGAUUUGAACAAGGAUAAUUUAGGAAAUAUGAAAAAAUUAGAAGGAUAGAAAAGUAAAUUUAUGUUUCAUUUCCAUUCCCAACCCCUCUCGUGAGAAUGGAAUUCCCAUUCCUUAUUCCGAAAUUAUGUAGAAUACACACAUUUUAUUUCCAUUAUCAAAUUACAUUUUGCCAAAUAAAUAUAGAUUUUAUUACCAUUCUCCAAACUCACAAGUAAACACACCAUUAUUCUAUUAGAUAAGUAAUAAUAAAUUUUCUAAAGGGAUAAUUGUAAUUCAUUCCAUUCCAAUGCUAGUGCUCGAGCCUUCAGCACUACGGCAGACAAUAGGCACUAAAAAGUUCACCCUCAAGGAGUCAAAUUGAGAUAGAAAGGAAUGCCAGUAGAAUUUAGCCAUUCACUUCCUUGCAAGAAUGGCCCGGCCGUAAAUUGAGCUGCCACAGCCGAGUUAUUGAUCACCCUGUAACCAGGCCACGUCACUCUGGCACUCGUGUUAGAACCAGGGCCCCUGUUCUUGUACUCCCCAUAAAAGAGUGUACUCAAUGCAAAUGUACCAUUCCAUUCUAACCAUCCAGCCGGCGCUAUCAAAUCGCCCAAAUAAGAUAGCAUAAAAACCGUCCUCGAAUAUUCUUUCCAAGGACGACCAAGGUAUGUUUUAAACUCUGUUUGAUAUGGAAUCAAGUCCGAAGCAGCAGCAGGUACAGCAGUUAAUAAAAUUUAAUAAUAAUCAUUAUUAUUAUUAUUAUUAAUGACAUUUAAAAUAAUAAAAUUAUUUGUGAUUUGAACAAGGAUAAUUUAGGAAAUAUGAAAAAAUUAGAAGGAUAGAAAAGUAAAUUUAUGUUUCAUUUUCAUUCCCACAUUUUCAUUGCCAACCCCCCCAUAGAAAUGAGAUUCCCAUUUUUUAUUCCCAAAUUGUGUGGGACCCACACAAUUUAUUCCCAUUCUCAAAUUCAAUUUUGUCAAGUAAAUAUAGCUUUAAUUCUCAUUCCUCCAUUCUCAUUCUUUAUUCCAAGAAGUAAACACACCAUUAGUCUCUUUUUGGUUUAGAAUUUAUAGUUCUUAAUUACUUUAUAGUUAGGUACUCCCUUACUUUAGUUUAAGUUUUAGGUAUUGUCUUAUAUAUUGUACUUAAGCCUGACCUUGUAUUUGCACCUAUAUAAUGACGUCUUAUAGGUCUUUCUUGACCUCAGUAAUACAUGUUAUUAUUUUCCUCCAAAAAAAAAAAAGCAUGCCCAAUGCAUUAUUAAUUGUACUUUCUUUCCAACAUUUCAUUGAAUUUGUGUUAUUUUUGUUCCAUGAUAUAAUUCUAGCCAUAGUUAUGUGAUUUGAUUUUUAAGUAAUAAAUAUAAAUUGUCCUUCUUUAAUACAGGUACCCUCAUUUUUUUUUCACGUGGACAUGCUAUUAUACCAUACGGCUUAAUAGAGUUAUUUUUUAAUACUAUUAAACUACAUGGUUUUAUAGUAUCUUGAAAAUCAAUUCUAUUAAUCCACAUAGCUUAACAGCGUAUUCGCAUUAAAACAACACUCCAUUUAUUAAAUAUAUUACAUCCUACCCUUGCUUUUCCUUUCAUUUUACAAUGAUACCCUUGUAAUAUCACUCUAGGGGAUAUUAAUUGAAAAAGAUAAUUUAUCAAACUAACCUAAAAAAGAAUAUAAAAAAUUACAUAAAUUUUAUAUUAUUAUUUUACAUUUAGGCUUAACUUGGUAAACUAAAUUUUUAUAAAAUAAUUAUUAGUAAGAUUAUUGUAAAGAUAUUAAGCAUGGUUUCAAGUUGGCUAAUAUUAAUUAAUUUAUAAAUAAUUAUUAGUAAGAUUGUUGCACAAAUACAAAAAUAAUAGUUCUUUUGUAAUGAUAAUUAUUAAUUAAUUUACUAAUAAAUAAUUAUUAGUUAAUUUGUAAAUUAAUUUUGUUAUAGAUAAAUUAAUUAAUGUCAAGAAUAUUGUUACAAGGAUAUUAUUUAAAAGAAAAAAAUAACGGUUAAAAAUACAAAAGAUAGUAUUUAAAGGGGAAAAAUAAAAAAUAAAAAUAUAACAUAUUUAAUUACAAGAGUAUGUUGAGAUAUUUUUUAAAAUAUAAAGACUAAACGGAUAUUUAAAUCAAAAUAUAAAGACUAAACGAACAUUUAGUCGUAUAUAAAUUUUUAAGUACAGGUGUUCUUAUUUUUUUUUAUACGGACAUGUUAUUCAAUGUUUAAUUUACUAUAGAGUGGGGUUAUUUGCACUCAAAAAAUUACUUUGGACACUCUAAUUUUAAUAAAAAUAUAUAUUACAAAAAUACCCAUACUAUGAAUUACUAUUAAGGACAAUUUAUUAUAAGUCAAUAUUAUAUAAUUAUUUUGAACAUACAUAUAACUCAUUAUUUAUUUUUAAUUAUCAUACUUUAAACCCUAAAACUUUUAUUUUCCAUAUCAUAAUUAACAUUUAGAUGAAUAAUAAGGAAACCAAUUUUUUAAAAAAAUUAAUUGCACAGUAUGUGUAAUAAAUUUUAUUUUUAAAAAAUAAAAUAAAAAAGUACUGUGAACAAACUUUCUUUUUGGCUUUCGCCAUUCUCCUCAUAUUCUUCGUCUUUACGUCUUCCUCUUCUCUUUUUUCUGCUUCAUCCCUUCUUCUCAUCUUCUUCAUCUCUAUGACUUCUUUCUUUUUCUUUUUUUUUUUUGGUAGUAUCUAUGGAAUAUAAUUUUUUUAUUAUAUUCUCAUUCCAAGUUAUUUUAGGUGUGAAAUUCAAUAUUGAACAUAAAUGACUAAAAAAUUAAUAAUUAAAACUAUAUUAAAUAAUGUUUUUACAACUUAACUUAAUUAUAUUGUUGUAAGUACAUGUUAAAUCAUUUAAAAUUAGUGUGCUGAAUAGUUUUAUUAAUGUUUUAAGUAAAUAAAGUUAAAAAAUUAAAUCAUUUAUUAUAACGUUAUAUAAUUUAAUAAUGUGUCGGCACAAACUAUUAAAUCAUAUAACUUAUUUAAAAAAAAUGAGGACCAGUACUACCUAAGAGACUUCUUCAAAGCUGGGACAACGAGGUCACGAUGAGCGUCAUUCAACCAGAGCUUAGUAGUAAUGAAGAGGUCUUGGCGAGUAGUGAGAAGCCCAAGUUUAAGUGCUUCAUCGAUUGCUUCUCCAAGAGCCCUCUCUGUCCCGUACUCUGAAGCUGUGUCAAAGUGUCUGUAACCGAGCUUGAUUGCUUCCAUUACUGCACACUUCAUGACAUUUUCAUCCUUCUUGUCA